rnacentral:misc_RNA from 1 species
GAUGAAGAACGUAGCGAAAUGCGAUAAGUAAUGUGAAUUGCAGAAUUCAGUGAAUCAUCGAAUCUUUGAACACACAUUGCGCCCCUUGGUAUUCCGAGGGGCAUGCCUGUUCGAGCGUCAUUAUAACCCCUCAAGCUUAGCUUGGUGUUGGGGCCUGCUGUAAUAGAGCAGCCCUUAAAAUCAGUGGCGGUGCCAUUAGGCUCUAAGCGUAGUAAUUCUUCUCGCUAUAGGGUUCUGGUGGAUGCUUGCCAUUAACCUCUAAUUUUCUAUGGUUGACCUCGGAUCAGGUAGGGAUACCCGCUGAACUUAAGCAUAUCAAUAAGCGGAGGA